rnacentral:rRNA from 1 species
AUUGAACGCUGGCGGAAUGCUUUACACAUGCAGGUCGAACGGCAGCACGGACUUCGGUCUGGUGGCGAGUGGCGAACGGGUGAGUAAUGUAUCGGAACGUGCCCAGUCGUGGGGGAUAACGUAGUGAAAAUUACGCUAAUACCGCAUACGAUCUAUGGAUGAAAGCGGGGGAUCGCAAGACCUCGCGCGAUUGGAGCGGCCGAUAUCAGAUUAGGUAGUUGGUGGGGUAAAGGCCCACCAAGCCAACGAUCUGUAGCUGGUCUGAGAGGACGACCAGCCAAACUGGAACUGGGGCACGGUCCAGACUCCUACGGGAGGCAGCAGUGGGGAAUUUUGGACAAUGGGCGAAAGCCUGAUCCAGCCAUUCCGCGUGCAGGAUGAAGGCCCUCGGGUUGUAAACUGCUUUUGUACAGAACGAAAAGGUUUCUACUAAUACUAGGAGCUCAUGACGGUACUGUAAGAAUAAGCACCGGCUAACUACGUGCCAGCCGCCGCCGUAA